GAUGAACGCUGGCGGCGUGCCUAAUACAUGCAAGUCGAGCGAACGGACGAGAAGCUUGCUUCUCUGAUGUUAGCGGCGGACGGGUAAGUAACACGUGGAUAACCUACCUAUAAGACUGGGAUAACUUCGGGAAACCGGAGCUAAUACCGGAUAAUAUUUUGAACCGCAUGGUUCAAAAGUGAAAGACGGUCUUGCUGUCACUUAUAGAUGGAUCCGCGCUGCAUUAGCUAGUUGGUAAGGUAACGGCUUACCAAGGCAACGAUGCAUAGCCGACCUGAGAGGGUGAUCGGCCACACUGGAACUGAGACACGGUCCAGACUCCUACGGGAGGCAGCAGUAGGGAAUCUUCCGCAAUGGGCGAAAGCCUGACGGAGCAACGCCGCGUGAGUGAUGAAGGUCUUCGGAUCGUAAAACUCUGUUAUUAGGGAAGAACAUAUGUGUAAGUAACUGUGCACAUCUUGACGGUACCUAAGCAGAAAGCCACGGCUAACUACGU
rnacentral:rRNA from 1 species